GCUAACUACGUGCCAGCAGCCGCGGUAAUACGUAGGGUGCAGGCGUUAAUCGGAAUUACUGGGCGUAAAGCGUGCGUAGGCGGUCUGUUAAGACAGGUGUGAAAUCCCCGAGCUCAACUUGGGAAUUGCGCUUGUAACUGGCAGGCUAGAGUGUGGCAGAGGGGGGUGGAAUUCCACGUGUAGCAGUGAAAUGCGUAGAGAUGUGGAGGAACACCAAUGGCGAAGGCAGCCCCCUGGGAUGACACUGACGCUCAUGUACGAAAGCGUGGGUAGCAAACAGGAUUAGAUACCCGUGUAGUC
rnacentral:rRNA from 1 species